rfam:Xenopus laevis strain J chromosome 4L, whole genome shotgun sequence.
GGCACUGGUGGUCGGCACUCCUGAUAAUCAGGAUGGGGUUCAAAUCCCUGCGGUGUC